rnacentral:rRNA from 1 species
UACGUAGGGUGCAAGCGUUGUCCGGAAUUAUUGGGCGUAAAGAGCUCGUAGGCGGUUUGUCGCGUCUGCUGUGAAAACUGGGGGCUCAACCUCGGGCCUGCAGUGGGUACGGGCAGACUAGAGUGCGGUAGGGGAGAUUGGAAUUCCUGGUGUAGCGGUGGAAUGCGCAGAUAUCAGGAGGAACACCGAUGGCGAAGGCAGAUCUCUGGGCCGUAACUGACGCUGAGGAGCGAAAGCAUGGGGAGCGAACAGG